AUGGCCAGGGCCAGGGAAGCCACCCUUCUUCGCCCCCUUCACCGGCUGCGACCAAAGCGGUGCCGCAGCACCCGGCCUCGCCGUCUCGUACUCCGGCACCAUCGCGACCCAGUGACACAGCCCAAGCAUCGGCCUCGAAAAUCAAGAACGCUCGACAACGGAGAGGGAAGGAAAGAUCAUAUACAUGUCAUAAGAAAGGGAGUUUAUUUACUGCUCCCUCGAUGUAUUGUUUCAUUUGUUUGGAGACUGAUUACCAUCCGCGAGUUAAGGUAA
rnacentral:rRNA from 1 species